GAUGAAGAACGUAGCGAAAUGCGAUAAGUAAUGUGAAUUGCAGAAUUCAGUGAAUCAUCGAAUCUUUGAACGCACAUUGCGCCCGCCAGUAUUCUGGCGGGCAUGCCUGUUCGAGCGUCAUUUCAACCAUCAAGCCCCCGGCUUGUGUUGGGGACCUGCGGCUGCCGCAGGCCCUGAAAACCAGUGGCGGGCUCGCUAGUCACUCCGAGCGUAGUAAUACAUCUCGCUCAGGGCGUGCUGCGGGUUCCGGCCGUUAAAGGCCUUAUUUACCCAAGGUUGACCUCGGAUCAGGUAGGAAGACCCGCUGAACUUAAGCAUAUCAAUAAGCGGAGGA
rnacentral:misc_RNA from 1 species